rnacentral:lncRNA from 1 species
ACAGCGGUCUCGGGGACUACACCCAGUGGGUUCACUGAGAGUGACCCCACUGGCAUGCAGCUCAAGCAGGCCUGCCCUAUUGAGAUGCAUGUUAUCACCUACGCCUACGAGGCCAAUAAUACCCGACCUGAGUACAAAUUACUCUCGGGGACUCUUACAGUAAGUGCACUCCGAGUGCCACAACUACGCGCACUCGGUCAUGUUAUUUAC